CAAAGACAGAGUGCAGGUGUUGGACUCAGUUUCCCCCGGAAACCUGUCUCUCCGUCUCUCAGAUCUCACUCUGUCAGAUGAGGGUACAUACAGGUGUGAAGCAGAUGGGAAGUACAGAGACAUCAGUCUCACUGUGAAAGAAGCCACAACCCGGUCUCCAACCAUAACCAAGCACACAUCCACACAUGGAAGCAAGAAAAUCUCUGAAGACCUGAAAAACUCCAUCUUGUACGCGACCACUGCUGUUGUUGUUGCCGCAGUCGCAGUGUGUGGGGCUGUGUUAUUUUACUGCAGAGUUAGAUCCAGGAAAAAUGCACAUGUGGAAUCCAGAGAAGAACAAGAGAUGGGGACCGGGGAGCAGGAGGAGGAGAAGAAUGCUGAUUCAGUGACAUAUUCUACUGUUGUUCACAGUAAAACUGUGAAAAAUACAAACAUCCAAAAUCCAAGUGAAAACUCCACAGAAUAUGCUUCCAUUAAGCUUGGAAUGUCAUCAUAUUUAUAGAAAUACACCUCGUACACACGCACACAAAAAGCAUUCACAUAUGCACACGCAAAAUUUGGUAAUGGUAAAUGGGCUGCAUUUAUAUAGCGCUUUUAUCCAAAGCGCUUUACAAUUGAUGCCUCUCAUUCACCCUUUCACACAUACACUCACACUCACACUCACACACCAACGGUGAAAGGCUGCCAUGCAAGGUACCAAUCAGCUCGUUCGGAGCAAUUAGGGGUCAGGUGUCUUGCUCAGGGACACUUUGACACGUCCAGGGCUAGGGAUUGAACCGGCAACCCUCCGACUGCCAGACACCUGCUCUUACCUCCUGAGCUAUGUAAAUCUCUUUUGUGAGUUGUGUAAAGUAUAUAGGAUCAGGAUGAAAUUCUAUAUUAUUUUGUAUUUUGCGUCUCAGUACUUCUAGGUGCACUGCAUUAUAGCAUGACGUUAGUUUAACUUAAAAACCUCUGAUUAUUAAAAAUUGUAAUGAUAAAAUUCUAAUAUUUUGCAUUAAAAAAUGUAUGUGUAUUGAUACUGUAGUAUUUCUUUAUAUUAACGUACGUGCAACAAUGGAAUGGAAUUAUGGUAUGGGCAUGGAUAACUAGCUUAUUAUUUAAUGUGUGAAAUUGUUUAAAUAAUAUAUCUGUGAAGACAUAAAAUUGCUAAUACCAA